rnacentral:other from 1 species
AAAUCCCUGCUGUGUACGUGAAUAGCCAUUAAGUUUUUGCCAACACAAAAACUAUGGGAGCUUGUCUCUACAUGUGGCAUGUAUGCCCUGAGCAAAAGGGACACAUUAAGCAUGUAGGAAGGCACCCACCUGUGAGCAUCAGGUUUAAACUUUGGCGUCACGGCUCGGUGGGGUUUUU